rnacentral:lncRNA from 1 species
AGCCAGUAAUCGAGUUUCUUCUAAUGAGGAUAUUCUUUUUUUUUUUUUUCUUUUAGAGUCAGGCCUCUAGGUGUAGAAAUUAAGGCCAAUUUUUUUUAUCUCUUGUGUUUUUCUGAACUUUCUCAUUUUUCCACAGUGAGCACAUUCACAAAAUGGGAGAAGGGAAAGACAUUUAGAAAAGCAGUCAGUUACACUGGUGUCAAAUUAAUUUAGAAGAGGAGAAACCGGAGAGGUUAUGGGGACCAGAAGAGUAAAUAAAAUGACAGAAACAAAAGGUCAGGAAAUGCGUUGGGGGAUGGUGGGGUGGGGGGACAAGUCCUCUUUCCUUCUUCUAGCCCUUCCCCCAAAUUGUUUAGAAAAGAGAGAAGUAGGGAAGAAGAAAGGAGCCGUGGCGGCCACUGUUUCCGGGACGAAAUGCCUCUGGAAUCGGAGAGAGCGCGCCCCAGCCAGGCGGCUCCCUCCUGCGGGAGGCGCUCGGUUUGCAAGGGGUUAACAGCGUUGCUCGUGAACUUGGCCUGUCUGUCUGGCUCGUGAUGGAUGGUGAGACCCGCUGACAAGUUCAGCCGGAGGGACCUCCCCUGCUGUGGCGGCAGGAGAAACACACAGGCAGAGGGGACCCAGGGCGAGCAGCCCGGGCGCGCGGGGAAGACGGUGGUUCGGUGUGGCAGGGCGACCAGCAAGGCGCGCUGCUCUGCCUGCCCUCUCGGCUCCCGCCUCCCCUUGACCGCUCGCCUCCUCCUCUGGAGCUUUCCGAUAUCCUGAAGCACCAAAGUUUCCCCGGGCUCCGCGCUGUGUGUCCCAGAGCCCGCCGCCCGCCCCUGCGGGCGAUGCAGAGCGCUGCGGCGCGGGGCGUCGGGAGCCCGCCUCUCGGGAGGCCGAGUUCAGCAUUUGGACAGCGGCUCCGGGUCGCAGUUGUUCCACCGCGUGGAGUUUGCAGCUACUCCCCUGCAGGCGCCUCUCUCCUCGGUGCCCUCUUGUCGGGCACGAAUUCGCCGUCUGCACCCGUCCGUUCGUCCGUUCGUAGGAGGGCGCGCGGGAGGAAAGGACAUGCCUGGAGCCGGAAGACAGAAAGGAGAAGCAGGAGCCUGGUGGAGGAGUCGGAAGCUGGGAAGGAGGAGAAAAUGAAACGUUGCCUGAAGACAAUGGCCAAGACAGCAGGUCCCACCCAGCACAGCCGCCAGCACCUCUGCUCCAGCCCCAGCUCCUCCUCCACGGUCAGGAUCUGCACAUCACACCACUUGGUCCGCAGGAAGGAGAAAAAGAACCCCCAAACCAAUCUAUAGAAAAACGUGGCUGGCCAUGGACACACCGGGGAAGCUUAGACAGUUGAAGGUGGGAGAGGGCACCAAGGCGAAGGUUGGAGACACACUUUGCAUCUGCUGGCCCGGUAGACACAAGGCUGCAUCCACUCUGGGACCCCCACCUCUGCAUCCUGGGGCUUCUCCCCGGCUGCCAGCUAGGCGGAGAAGGGGAGAGGGGCCCAAGGCAGCUGCAGGGGCUGUGUUAGUAAACACUUUCCUGGGUUCCCAUUUUCUUCACCCCCCCCACCCCGCCUUCUCCAGUCCUGAUGCCCUGUUACCCGCCCACCCCCCCCACCACCCCCCCAGCAUCCCCUUUUCUGUGGCCUGCACAAUGAGCUCAUUGUCCUGGGUGUGAUUUGAAUAAGGGAUCGGCGGGCCUGUUCCCAGCAUUGUCCAAGGGGCUGGGAAAAACCCCAGCACAGGCAGGAGGACCAGACCAGACAGAGACAGAUGCCUAAAUUAGCAACAAAGCUUUGUGCACGUCCCCCGGACAAGGGCUCGCCUUGUUUGCGUGGACUCGAGGGUGUGGAGCUGGCC